rnacentral:rRNA from 1 species
GGACUACAGGGGUUUCUAAUCCUGUUUGAUCCCCACGCUGUCGUGCAUGAGCGUCAGUUACGAGCCAGUGAGCCGCCUUCGCCACCGGUGUUCUUCCCAAUAUCUACGAAUUUCACCUCUACACUGGGAAUUCCACUCACCUCUCUCGUACUCCAGUUCGUCAGUUUCAAAGGCAAUUCCAGAGUUGAGCUCUGGGCUUUCACCCCUGACUUGAAAAACCGCCUGCGCACGCUUUACGCCCAGUAAUUCCGAACAACGCUAGCCCCCUUCGUAUUACCGCGGCUGCUGGCAC